rnacentral:rRNA from 1 species
UCUGGUUGAUCCCGCCGGAGGUUACUGCUAUCGAGGUUCGACUAAGCCAUGCGAGUCGAAUGUAGCAAUACAUGGCGAACUGCUCAGUAACACGUGGACAACCUGCCCUUAGGUUGGGUAUAAACCCGGGAAACUGGGUAUAAUACCCGAUAGGUCUCGAUUGCUGGAAUGCAUCGAGAUUUAAAGCUCCGGCGCCUAAGGAUGGGUCUGCGGCCUAUCAGGUAGUAGUGGGUGUAGCGUACCUACUAGCCUACGACGGGUACGGGUUGUGAGAGCAAGAGCCCGGAGAUGGAUUCUGAGACACGAAUCCAGGCCCUACGGGGUGCAGCAGGCGCGAAAACUUUACAAUGCUGGCAACAGCGAUAAGGGAACCUCGAGUGCCAGGUUACAAAUCUGGCUGUCGAGAUGCCUAAAAAGCAUUUCAUAGCAAGGGCCGGGCAAGACCGGUGCCAGCCGCCGCGGUAACACCGGCGGCUCGAGUGGUAACCGUUAUUAUUGGG